rnacentral:rRNA from 1 species
UUGACCUCAUACACGUACAGAAUACCCGCUGAACUUAA